rnacentral:rRNA from 1 species
UUCUGGCUCAGGAUGAACGCUAGCUACAGGCUAACACAUGCAAGUCGAGGGGUAACGUGAGGGAAGCUUGCUUCUCUUGACGACGACCGGCGAAUGGGUGAGUAACGCGUAUCCAACCCGCCGCACGCCCGGGAACAGCCCUUGGAAACGAGGAUUAAAUCCCGAUACCUUAUCAUUCCGCAUGGAGUGAUAAGAAAACAGGCAUGCGAUGGGGAUGCGUCUGAUUAGCUUGUUGGCGGGGUAACGGCCCACCAAGGCGACGAUCAGUAGGGGUUCUGAGAGGAAGGUCCCCCACAUUGGAACUGAGACACGGUCCAAACUCCUACGGGAGGCAGCAGUGAGGAAUAUUGGUCAAUGGGCGAGAGCCUGAACCAGCCCAAGUAGCGUGAAGGAUGACUGCCCUACGGGUUGUAAACUUCUUUUGUCCAGGAAUAAAAAAUCCCUCGUGAGGGGUCUUGCAGGUACUGGUUGAAUAAGGACCGGCUAAUUCCGUGCCAGCCGCCGC